UGGGGAAUAUUGCACAAUGGGCGAAAGCCUGAUGCAGCGACGCCGCGUGAGGGAUGAAGGCCUUCGGGUUGUAAACCUCUUUCGCUCAUGGUCAAGCCGCAACUGUGGGUUGUGGUGAGGGUAGUGGGUAAAGAAGCACCGGCUAACUACGUGCCAGCAGCCGCGGUAAUACGUAGGGUGCGAGCGUUGUCCGGAAUUAUUGGGCGGAAAGGGCUUGUAGGCGGUUUGUCGUGUCUGCCGUGAAAUCCUCUGGCUUAACUGGGGGCGUGCGGUGGGUACGGGCAGACUUGAGUGCGGUAGGGGAGACUGGAACUCCUCGUGUAGCGGUGGAAUGCGCUGAUAUCAGGAAGAGCACCGGUGGCGAAGGGGGGUCUCUGGGCCGUUACUGACGCUGAGGAGCGAAAGCGUGGGGAGCGAACAGG
rnacentral:rRNA from 1 species